ACGCUGGCGGCAGGCCUAACACAUGCAAGUCGAGCGGUAGAGAGAAGCUUGCUUCUCUUGAGAGCGGCGGACGGGUGAGUAAUGCCUAGGAAUCUGCCUGGUAGUGGGGGAUAACGUCCGGAAACGGACGCUAAUACCGCAUACGUCCUACGGGAGAAAGCAGGGGACCUUCGGGCCUUGCGCUAUCAGAUGAGCCUAGGUCGGAUUAGCUAGUUGGUGGGGUAAUGGCUCACCAAGGCGACGAUCCGUAACUGGUCUGAGAGGAUGAUCAGUCACACUGGAACUGAGACACGGUCCAGACUCCUACGGGAGGCAGCAGUGGGGAAUAUUGGACAAUGGGCGAAAGCCUGAUCCAGCCAUGCCGCGUGUGUGAAGAAGGUCUUCGGAUUGUAAAGCACUUUAAGUUGGGAGGAAGGGCAGUAAAUUAAUACUUUGCUGUUUCGACGUUACCGACAGAAUAAGCACCGGCUAACUCUGUGCCAGCAGCCGCGGUAAUACAGAGGGUGCAAGCGUUAAUCGGAAUUACUGGGCGUAAAGCGCGCGUAGGUGGUUCGUUAAGUUGGAUGUGAAAUCCCCGGGCUCAACCUGGGAACUGCAUUCAAAACUGACGAGCUAGAGUAUGGUAGAGGGUGGUGGAAUUUCCUGUGUAGCGGUGAAAUGCGUAGAUAUAGGAAGGAACACCAGUGGCGAAGGCGACCACCUGGACUGAUACUGACACUGAGGUGCGAAAGCGUGGGAACAAAC
rnacentral:rRNA from 1 species